CCGACGGACGGACCGAGGGACGGACCGAGGGACGGACCGACAGACCCACCGACGGCCUGGGAACGCGCCGCAGAGGGUGAAGGUGGCUCCAGGGAGCAGAGGCUGAUGCACCCAACCCCAACUCAGCGCCACCACAAAUGCACAGGAGCUGGUUCUGCCUACCAACAAGUAAACCUUGGUACAAAUGGAGUGUCCCUAUUUACCUACACUUCCUUCGGGAGCAGCCCCAAACCCUAGUGGACAGUUUUACAAAGCCUUUCUCUCCUGACUGUGAAAUGACAUGAUUUUCACUGCUAACAAUUGCUGAAGGAGCUGUUCUGUGCUCAUCUGCCUCGUGCUGGGAGCGCCAUGUCACGUGCGUAUAAGAACAGAAACUUCCUGAGAUGUUGGGACUCAGAAACUCAGAAUUCCCUACCAAUGUUUUUUUUUUUCAUUUGAUAAAAUAAGAUCUCGAUUGCUGUAAUUAGUUAAUAUUUGUAAAGCCUGUAAGAUUCCAGAAUAAAUGUCUGAAAGCAACUCAGAUGGCUAUUAGAGAAAUGUGUUAAUAAUAAUGAGGAUGGCUGGUGAGAAGACAUCACUCCUAAUGAUGUAUGAUUUAUUUCCUUAAGGGUGUGCUAAUAAACAAAACUCAUUUUUAAAA